rnacentral:tRNA from 1 species
UGCGGGAUGGAGCAGUCUGGUAGCUCGUCGGGCUCAUAACCCGAAGGUCGUUGGUUCAAAUCCAGCUCCCGCUG